rnacentral:rRNA from 1 species
GACGAACGCUGGCGGCGUGCUUAACACAUGCAAGUCGAACGAUGAAGAAAAGAAUUGAAGCUUCGGCAGAAAUUCAUUUCGGAUUAGUGGCAGACGGGUGAGUAACGCGUGAGCAACCUACCUCUUACAAAAGGAUAGCCUCGGGAAACCGGGAUUAAUACCAUAUAACAUUGCGACGAAGCAUUUCGAUGCAAUCAAAGCUACGGCGGUAAGAGAUGGGCUCGCGUCCCAUUAACCAGAUGGUGAGGUAACGGCUCACCAUAGUAACGAUGGGUAACCGGCCUGAGAGGGUGAACGGUCACACUGGAACUGAGACACGGUCCAGACUCCUACGGGAGGCAGCAGUGGGGAAUAUUGCACAAUGGAGGGAACUCUGAUGCAGCGACGCCGCGUGAGUGAUGAAGGAAUUCGUUUCGUAAAACUCUGUUCUAUGGGAAGAAAAGGACUGUACCAUAGGAGAAAGCUCCGGCUAAAUACGUG